GAAUGAGCUCGUGCUGAACAAACUAGAGAUUAGUGUGGGUGUCUCCAUGCUGAACGUUAUCCAGCGUGAGCCCGACAACGACAACUCAAUCAUUGUCUUCCGAGCUCUCUACGACUGUCAAAAUGAAAUCUCACUGUCCAACAAAGGAAAGAUUACUGGCUGUCAGAACAUCACACACAGCACUUCGAAAUCAACCCCUGCUUGUGCCUGCUAUAUGUGCUCAAUUAAAAGUUGCAAUUGUCGACCCUGCCAGAACGUCGGUAAACACGAGUCUAGCGAGAAAGCAAAUCACACCACUUCUCAACACACCCCAAACCAAACCACUCCCUCCCUUUCAGCCUACCCGACAGAGAAUCAACCCCCAGAAACCUCACUGAAUUUGGAAACAAUCCAAACCACACCCUCCCUUAUGUCCAUACAGUCAAUUAGUCAAACACCUCUCCCAGACCUUCCCGAAAGCAACUUUGAACUAGAAUCAAUUAAAACAACACCCCUUGAGAUUUCCCCAGAGAAAAUUUCACCCACCAAAUCAAUCACUCACACCAAAAGUGGUGAUUGUUUGUCAUGUGAAAUAAGCUCUUCGAGCAUACAGAUUGUAAACUUUCCCCUCCCCACACACCCCUUAGAACCUUUAA